GUCUGUUUUUCUUUAGCCCAGGUAAGACGCUUCUGACGUUGUUUGUUAUUCAGGAGCGGCUUGACAAGAGGAAUACGACAUCUGAAGCCCAUGUCCAGGUUCCGUCUGUGUGUGGUGGCUCUUGAUGCACUGACUCCAGCCUCAGUCCACUCCUUGUGAAAGUCCCCAACAAUUUUCCUGACAAUCCUCUCCAGGCUGCGGUCAUCCCUGCUGCUUGUGCACCUUUUUCUUCCACACUUUUCCCUUCCACAUAACUUUCUAUUACUGUGCUUUGAUACAGCACUUUGGGAACAUCCAACUUCCUUCGCAAUUACCUUUUGAGGCUUUCCCUCCUCUUGGAGGGUGUCAAUGAUGGUUUUCUGCACAACUGUCAGGUCAGCAGUCUUCCCCAUGAUUGUGAUUCCUACUGAACCAGACUGAGAGACCAUUUAAAGGCUCAGAAACCCUUUGCAGGUGUUAUGGCUUACUUAGCUGAUUAGAGUGGGACAAUGUGGGCCUAGAAUAUUGCACCUUUUCACAAUAUUUUAAUUUACUGAAAUUGUGGAUUUGGGGUUUUCAUGAGCUAUAAGCCAUAAUCAUCGCACUUAUGACAAAUCACGGCUUGAACUAUCUUGCUUUGCAUGUAAUGCGUCUAUAUCAUAUAUUAGUUUCCACUUUUAC